CCUACGGGGGACAGCAGUAGGGAAUCUUCCACAAUGGGCGCAAGCCUGAUGGAGCAACACCGCGUGAGUGAAGAAGGGUUUCGGCUCGUAAAGCUCUGUUGUUGGAGAAGAACGUGCGUGAGAGUAACUGUUCACGCAGUGACGGUAUCCAACCAGAAAGUCACGGCUAACUACGUGCCAGCAGCCGCGGUAAUACGUAGGUGGCAAGCAUUAUCCGGAUUUAUUGGGCGUAAAGCGAGCGCAGGCGGUUGCUUAGGUCUGAUGUGAAAGCCUUCGGCUUAACCGAAGAAGUGCAUCGGAAACCGGGCGACGUGAGUGCAGAAGAGGACAGUGGAACUCCAUGUGUAGCGGUGAAAUGCGUAGAUAUUAGGAAGAACACCAGUGGCGAAGGCGGAUUACUGGACGACAACUGACGGUGAGGCGCGAAAGCGUGGGGAGCAAACAGGAUUAGAUACCCUUGUAGUC
rnacentral:rRNA from 1 species